rnacentral:rRNA from 1 species
GACGAACGCUGGCGGCGUGCUUAACACAUGCAAGUCGAACGGAAAGGCCCUGCUUUUGUUGGGUUCUCGAUUGGCGAACGGGUGAGUAACACGUGAGUAACCUGCCCUUGACUUUGUGAUAACUUCAGGAAACUGGGGCUAAUACCGGAUAGGAGCUCCUGCUGCAUGGUGUGGGUUGGAAAGUUUCGGCGGUUGGGGAUGGACUCGCGGCUUAUCAGCUUGUUGGUGGGGUAGUGGCUUACCAAGGCUUUGACGGGUAGCCGGCCUGAGAGGGUGACCGGCCACAUUGGGACUGAGAUACGGCCCAGACUCCUACGGGAGGCAGCAGUGGGGAAUAUUGCACAAUGGGCGGAAGCCUGAUGCAGCAACGCCGCGUGCGGGAUGACGGCCUUCGGGUUGUAAACCGCUUUCGCCUGUGACGAAGCGUGAGUGACGGUAAUGGGUAAAGAAGCACCGGCUAACUACGUG